CGAGUUGGUCAGGUGAUCGCUGGUGGAUUCAUCCACGAGAGGAAAGUCCGGGCUCCGCAGGACAGGAUGGUCGGUAACGCCGACCGGCCGCGAGGCUAGGGAAAGUGCAACAGAAAAUAAACCGCCAACGCGUGUGUCACUUCGGUGGUACCGCACGGUAAGGGUGAAAUGGUGGGGUAAGAGCCCACCAGCAUUGCAGGUGACUGUAGUGGCUUGGUAAACCCCAUCCGGAGCAAGGCCAAACAGAGAGCAGGUGACGGUUCGCCGUUGCCACGUGAUUGUUCGUCGCGUUGUGACUCUCGGGUAGGCUGCUUGAGUGCGUCAGCAAUGGCGUGCCUAGAUAAAUGAUCGUCGCCGCUGGUUUACCGGCGGAACAAGACCCGGCUUACGACCAACUCGGUUU
rnacentral:RNase_P_RNA from 1 species